GAGGGUAUGGCUCAGUGGUAGAGCGCAUGCUUAGCAUGCACGAGGUCCUGGAUUCAAUCCCCAAUAUCUCCA
rnacentral:tRNA from 1 species